GAUGAACGCUGGCGGCGUGCCUAAUACAUGCCAGUCGAGCGAACAGAUGAGGAGCUUGCUCCUCUGACGUUAGCGGCGGACGGGUGAGUAACACGUGGAUAACCUACCUAUAAGACUGGGAUAACUUCGGGAAACCGGAGCUAAUACCGGAUAAUAUAUUGAACCGCAUGGUUCAAUAGUGAAAGACGGUUUUGCUGUCACUUAUAGAUGGAUCCGCGCCGCAUUAGCUAGUUGGUAAGGUAACGGCUUACCAAGGCAACGAUGCGUAGCCGACCUGAGAGGGUGAUCGGCCACACUGGAACUGAGACACGGUCCAGACUCCUACGGGAGGCAGCAGUAGGGAAUCUUCCGCAAUGGGCGAAAGCCUGACGGAGCAACGCCGCGUGAGUGAUGAAGGUCUUCGGAUCGUAAAACUCUGUUAUUAGGGAAGAACAAAUAUGUAAGUAACUAUGCACGUCUUGACGGUACCUAAUCAGAAAGCCACGGCUAACUACGUG
rnacentral:rRNA from 1 species